rnacentral:rRNA from 1 species
GGCAGCGCGGGGCAACCUGGCGGCGAGUGGCGAACGGGUGAGUAAUAUAUCGGAACGUACCCUGGAGUGGGGGAUAACGUAGCGAAAGUUACGCUAAUACCGCAUACGAUCUAAGGAUGAAAGUGGGGGAUCGCAGGACCUCAUGCUCCUGGAGCGGCCGAUAUCUGAUUAGCUAGUUGGCGGGGUAAAAGCCCACCAAGGCAACGAUCAGUAGCUGGUCUGAGAGGACGACCAGCCACACUGGAACUGAGACACGGUCCAGACUCCUACGGGAGGCAGCAGUGGGGAAUUUUGGACAAUGGGCGCAAGCCUGACCCAGCAAUGCCGCGUGAGUGAAGAAGGCCUUCGGGUUGUAAAGCUCUUUUGUCAGGGAAGAAACGGUGGGGGCUAAUAUCCUCCGCUAAUGACGGUACCUGAAGAAUAAGCACCGGCUAACUACGUGCCAGCAGCCGCGGUAAUACGUAGGGUGCAAGCGUUAAUCGGAAUUACUGGGCGUAAAGCGUGCGCAGGCGGUUUUGUAAGUCUGUCGUGAAAUCCCCGGGCUCAACCUGGGAAUUGCGAUGGAGACUGCAAGGCUAGAGUUUGGCAGAGGGGGGUAGAAUUCCACGUGUAGCAGUGAAAUGCGUAGAUAUGUGGAGGAACACCGAUGGCGAAGGCAGCCCCCUGGGUCAAAACUGACGCUCAUGCACGAAAGCGUGGGGAGCAAACAGGAUUAGAUACCCUGGUAGUCCACGCCCUAAACGAUGUCUACUAGUUGUCGGGUCUUAAUUGACUUGGUAACGCAGCUAACGCGUGAAGUAGACCGCCUGGGGAG